UUCACUGAUUCUCAUACAAUCUCCGAAGUUAAGUAAUGUCAUGCCUGGUCAGUACCUAGAUGGGUGACUGUUUGGGAAUACCAGGUGCUA